rnacentral:lncRNA from 1 species
UCAAUGCAUUCCAUUUAUGAAUGAGCAUCGACACUAUAAAUACCCCUUCUUAUAUCAAGAGGAUGACUUCCGGCAAAAGAGAACGAAUUACUCCCGAAAGCUCAGAAGUCUCAAAACACUUUGUGAAGAACUACCAAGGUUCCAGAUAGGCUGUUCUUUCACCAAUCCGAAGGCUUAGAAGUUGUCAAACUCCGAAGAGUCACCAAGUUGCCAAAUAGCCGACAUCUUCACCAACUUAAAGACGAAGAACAAAUCACCACGUGAAACCGCUCGUGGAUCAAACCUGAUCAACAUCAAGCCUCCACGGCCCUUGAUCAACCCUUGUCUUCAAGUCUUCAACAAAUCAAAACCUCUACCAAGUUCUUCAACAAACUCGUGGAGAAUCAACAAGCACCGAACACACGUGCUGAUUCAUCCCCCGUCAAAGUUGAAGAACGUUCACCACGUGACACUGCUCGUGGCCUAAGUCCGAUCAAGAACAAGCCUCUAUGGCACUUGGUCAAUCAACUUCUACAAAUUGUCAACACGGCAAGAAGUCUAAACUAAAACCAUUCGAUUCAAGAUCAAAUGCUCGUCACCCUUGGAUCAAAUCGAUGUCGGAAAUCGAAUCAGAGGAAAUUCAUGUAAAAGAAUACCCACAGAGAUUGUAACUCAUAAAUUCAUCAAUACAAAUAUAUUAUUUUGUACAUGUGUCUUAUGUUAUUUGUUAGAGGAUUUUCCAUGUUUACAAAAUUGGAACGUCCAGUGGGAGAUCUCUGCCUCUCAUCUCCGACAAUAUCGUCAUCCUCAUCACAUGGAAUCGAAGAUGAUGCAAAUCAAAUUGAAAAACAAGACCAACAAGGUAGCUUAGAAACCUUAGCGGUCAUGCUGCUCAUAAUGAGUCAUUUCAACUCACAAUAUUCGACCUUCAUUCCUCAAAGCAGUUUCAGCCGAUCAAUGCUUGGAAUGGGGGCGAACCUCAUGAAGCAAAGACAUUCAACAUCGUCAAGCAACUCGAGGAAACAUUAUCCUUCGCCCACAGCCGAAAUUGAUUCGAAGGUAGGUCCACACUUGGAAUUGCCUCUUGACAAUCAAAUUGAAGCGAUUCUAAAAGAUGACUCUUGCGCCAUGCAAGUCAUGGUGAUAGGAGUGACCAACGUGGAAGACAAGCGGCCCAAAUAGCCCAGUUGACUAAAGCGGUGAAGGAGCUCCAAAAGACCAUUGAAGAGAAGGAUGUAUAAAUUGCAUCGCUCAUGGAGAAGCUAGAAGUUCACCAUGACAAUGACUUAUAGAAUAACCUACAUGGCGAUAAGAAAGACACUCCUGGUGGAUCAUCUCCUGAACAAAAAGGAGAAUCAAAUUCCAUUCUAGCUUCAUUGUUAGCUUAACAACUUCAAGACAUGAUUGCUAACACAAUCAAAGCUCAAUAUGGUGGUUCGUCUCGAGAUACACUAACGUAUUCCAAGCCUUACACCAAGCAACUAGACAAUUUGAGGAUGCCAACCGGUUACCAACCUCCCAAAUUUCAACAAUUUGAUGGCAGAGGUAACCCUAAGCAGCACAUCGCGCAUUUUAUCGAAAGAUGCAACUCCACUGGCACCGAUGGUGAUUAUCUUGUAAAACAAUAUGUUCGCUCACUCUGAGGUACAACGUUCGAAUGGUUUACGGACUUGGAGCCUGAAUCCAUCGACAGCUGGGAGCAAAUGGAAAAAGAGUUUUUAAACCGCUUCUUCAGCACACGUCGCAUGGUGAGUAUGUUAGAGCUCACCAACACCAAACAAUGAAAGGGCGAGCCUGCUGUAGAAUUCAUCAAUCGCUGGCGUGCACUAAGUCUCAACUGCAAAUAUCGACUCUCAGAAUUGUCAGCGGUAGAGAUGUGCAUACAAGGCAUGCAUUGGGACUUGUACAUUCUUCAAGGAAUAAAGCCUCGCACCUUCGAAAACUUGCUACUCGAGCUCAUAACAUGGAACUCAGCUUCGCUAGCCGUGGUCGAAGAGAAUGUGACAUCAUUGAACCAGAGAAUCUAGAGUCUUUGGCAAUCAGCAAAACUACUGCAAGAAUCACAAAACGAGCCAAAUCACAUGACUGAAAGAAAUUUUAGUCGACUCAAGAUCAAGCAAGGAGGCAAACUCUAAAAGACAUGGAAGCUAAAAGUUACCCUUUUCCAGAUUCUGAUGUUGCUGAGAUGUUAGAAAACUUGCUUGAAAAAGAAGUAAUCAAAUUGCUAGACUACAAGCGUCCAGAAGAGAUGUAUCGCGUCAAUGAUCCAAAAUACUACAAGUACCACUAUGUCAUCGGUCAUCUGGUGAAGAAGUGCUUCAUCUUGAAAGACCUCAACAUGAAGCUUGCAUAACAAGAAAAGAUAUGUUUAGAUGUUGAAGAUGAUGUGGCUCAGUCAAAUCAUGCUACCUUCAUCUAUGAACAACUUAAAGCAGUGUCAUCGAUGUCUUUGUUGAGGGCAUGCAACCUGCCGAGCCUCAUGUAGACCACUUCACAGUCAUAACGCUCCUUGUCUGCAUGAGCAUAAACUGCGAAUGACCAAAAAAAAAAAGAACUUUGUCUGCACGAGCUUAAACUGCAAAUGACAAAAAAAAAUGCUCCUUGUUUGCACGAACUUAAACUGCAAAUGGCAAAAAAAAAAAAAUGCUCCUUGCCCGUAUGAGCAUAAAUUGCGUAUGACACCAAUAAAAAAAAACCUUGAACUACGUCAUGUCUUGAUCUCUUUCUCAUAAGAGUAUGUAGACAGCUUGGAAGAUGCUUCUGAGUUCAGUCAUAACAAAACAAGAAAAUGGGCUUGCUCAGGAAGUUGUUCUGAGUAUUGUCUUGUCAAAACAAGGUAAUGAGCUUGCUAUCAAAGUUUAUAUCGAAUUCAUUAUGGCUCGAGAAUUUGGAGGUGUCUCCCAAGUCAAAGAAGGGACAUACAAAACUUGAAAGAGGAAGCCUCUGCAUAAUCUUUGGAAUUCUACUCUUCCUUUCGCGGUCAAAAAUACGCAAAGCCUAAGCACUUUGAAUGAUUCCUCCCACUUUCAGAAAGUGGAAGAAAUCAAGCAUUUAGGUUGUCUGCCUUUUUCAUUUUGUCGUCUGUUGUUGUGCACGUAAAGCCUAAACACGUUGAGAUUAAUCCCAUGCCCAAGACGUGGAAGAAAUCAAGUAGUUAGGUGUUCGCGUUCUUCAAUUGCUGCUAAGGUACUCAAAGCCUAAACACUUUGAGUGAUUAAUCCCACACUCGAGAUAUGGAAGAAAUCAAGCGGUUAGGUGUUCGCAUUCUGCAAUUGCCGCCGAGUCACGCAAAACCUAAACACUUUGAGCGAUUCAUCUCACGUCAGAGGUCGAAUUAAUCAAGUGGUUAGGUGUUCACGUUCUUCAAUUGCCGUCGAGUCACCCAAAGCCUAAACACUUUGAGUGAUUUAUCCCACAUUGGAGGUGGAAAAAAUCAAGCGGUUAGGUGUUUGCGUUCUUCAAUUGCCAUCGAGUCACGCAAAACUAAAACACUUUGAGUGAUUCAUCCCGCAUCGGAGGUGUUCACGUUCUUCUAACGUCGUCAAGACCGCAACUCUUUAAUGCCCACACAAUCAACCCAAGAGAGAGGCUUGCACGUUGACCUAAUUCGUUUAUCUCUAGAAACCUGCAACAGAAGCACGCAAAAAAAAAAGGGACGAGAAAGAGUCAUUGAAUAAGUGUGCAAUUAAAUAUGCUGCUGUCAAAAAGAAGAAGAAACCAAAAUAAAAAACAAAAAAAUAAAAAUAAAAACAAAAAAAAAGAGAAAAAGGAAGAAAAGAUUGGCGUCAUGAGAAGAAUCACUAGUUGAUUAAAGGGGACUCGUUCAUCACGGCUCUUGUUUGCAUUGCCCUUGUACUGUACCGAGGUGAGACACAGAUCAAUGUGCACAUACCUUGUGAGCCGAAAAUCCUGAAACAAAAAAAAAAAAAGGAAAAGGGAAGAAAAGAGAGGCUAGGAGUGCUGCGACGUAAUUGCAUGGAGCCAUAUAGCAUACCUUGAUCAAGCUCCACUCAUGGCUCCGACAUGCAUCUUAUAUUCUUAUGUGACCAAAAAAAAAAGUAAAAGAAGAAGUGUGGACGGCUAGCUAAGGAAGAGGACUGGUGAUUAGGGCAAACCCUAUUGUGCCAUUUUAUAAGGUGAUUAUUCAUUCACUUUCCUAUUUGGUCAAGAGAUUGUCAAGCAUUGCAAGAUUUCGUACCUGUAGAAGACCAAAUGAGUUUGGAAGGUGGUAAUCAAUUAUACCAAUUAAGAGAUUAUCAUCCACGCAACAUUGAUAGGAAAACGAAGUCACAUAUGGAAUCUGUUCAAAUGAAGAUCAAAUCCAAUAGGUAUGCAGAUUGCUCAUGAUUCUCAAGCAUUCAAAAUCAAAUUCCAAAGGCGACAAAAAUGUCAUCAUGGUGAGGAAGGAAUGUAUCGAGGGAUCUUUCUAUAUACAUUCAGUGUUUAAAAAUCUUACCAACCUAAAUCAACAUAUUUGAGAAUCCUUACAAAAUUGAGGAAUCUUUACAAAUACGCGGAAAAAUACAAGAAUUCUUACAAAUUCUAAAAUUCCUACAAUCAUUGAGCCCAAGAAGUUGGCCCAGAAUCGUCCAAAUCGAAAACAUGGACUUCAAGCCGCGUCUCUGGCACAUGACGACGACAUGAGUAUGAGACACCUUGAAGUGGGGGCAUUUAUAGACGCAUAAAUUUAACGAGAAUAAUAAUUAUUAAAUUAUUCAGACGACACAUGUGGCUGACAAAUUGCAUAUGUGGCUCGUGAGUUGGCAAAGUUGAAAAGUUGUCAGAAUUGACACAUGGCAACAUGUGAAUGGUCGGUCAACAACAAAACCAUUAAUCCCGAUUAAAAUCAAAUAUUAAAUGUCAAUCGAUAAUUAGAUAUCAAUCAAAUCAAAUUGAUUAUCGAAAAAGAAGUCAGACAUUUAAUCAAAUUGGUGAAAUACCUUAUCAGUCAAAAUAAAUGGAUCAACUAAGAUAAUUAUGGUAAAUUGAAUAAUUGAAUCAAUCAAUCAAAAGUGAUUGAUUUAAUUAUAUCAUUAAGGAAAUACAACUCAAAUGGUGACUUCAAUGCAUUCCAUUUAUGGAGAAGCAUCGACACUAUAAAUACCCCCUCUUAUAUCAAGAGGAUGACUUCCGGCAAGAGAGAACGAAUUACUCUCGAAAGCUCAGAAGUGUCAAAACACUUUGCGAAGAACUACCAAGGUUCCAAAUAGGCUGUUCUUUCACCAAUCCGAAGGCUUAGAAGUUGUCAAACUCCGAAGAGUCACCAAGUUGUCAAAUAGCUGACAUCUUCACCAACUUAAAGACGAAGAACAAAUCACCACAUGAAACCGCUCGUGGAUCAAACCUGAUCAACAUCAAGCCUCCACGGCCCUUGAUCAACCCUCGUCUUCAAGUCUUCAACAAAUCAAAACCUCUACCAAGUUCUUCAACAAACUCGUGGAGAAUCAACAAGCACCGAGCACACUUGCUGAUUCAUCCCCCGUCAAAGUUGAAGAAUGUUCACCACGUGACAUUGCUCGUGGCCUAAGUCCAAUCAAGAACAAGUCUCUACGGCCCUUGGUCAAUCAACUUCUACAAAUCGUCAACACGAUAAGAAGUCCAAACUAAAACUAUUCGAUUCAAGAUCAAAUGCUCGUCACCCUUGGAUCAAAUCGACUCGGAAAUCGAAUAAGAGGAAAUUCUUGUUAAAAAAUACCCACAAAGAUUGUAACUCAUAAAUUCAUCAAUACAAAUAUAUUUUUUUAUAGAGAAAAUUAGAUAAAAACCCAAAAUACUAGACCUCUUUUAAGAUAAACCUAUACAUAUUUUUCUUUUAUUUUACACCCACUCCACAUAAGCAAACAUACCAUAUAAAGCAAAUGUCUAUAAUUAAUAGUUUUCUUUAUUUUUCGGUUUCUCUAAUUUGCCCUUCAGACAGUAGAAAGCUAAAUUUGGUAUAUUUCUCAAUUUUAGCAUCAAUUUGAAACUCAAAUACUAGCUAAAAUUUAGUUGGAUUUAACUUUGUCAUAAUCAAUUACAUUCUUUAAUUUCUUACCUUGUUAUUACUAACUUGAGUUUAU